rnacentral:snRNA from 1 species
GUGUUACUCUGGUAGCACAUAUACUAAAAUUGGAACGAUACAGAGAAGAUUAGCAUGGCCCCUGCGCAAGGAAGACAUGCAAAUUCGUGAAGCGUUCUCAUUUUCC